AAGAUACAUAUGUGCCCAAAGUGAGAGAUGUAGCCCAUGGAAGUAUAAAGGGCUGCCACCUCAUUAAAGUAUAAAUCUCUUAUAAAGUCCAAGGAUUUGGAUGUCAUCUUCAAAGGAAGAGGUCUCACGGACUCCUCUGGUUCUGAUCAAGAAACUCACUUUACAAUUUAAGAAGAAAAUGGGCUGAUGUUUAUGGUGUUUAUGGUUCAGGUGUUUCUCCAUGUAUCCUGGCAGAAGCAGGCAGCCUUAAGCAGUCCAUAGGUUACAGGAUAUAAAGACGGAAGCCAGCUGGAACUAGAGAAAGAACAUCACCGAGAGAGAUCCUGGAUGGGAAGCUGGAUGCGCUGAUGAGACCUUGCGGUGUCUCCUUUUUGGACUGAGGGAGUGUCCCGUAAGAAGCGAUUUAAUGAAAAAGAAACCGUCUUGGAAUUUUCCGCAGCCCAUGAUUUGAGAUAACUGGCGUUGUAACCAACAGCCUGUCUGGAUCAAGAAUGGACGCCUGCAGGCGACAGCUCCCUCCACAAACCUUCUUCUGAUUUCUCCAGUAGAACGACAUAGAUAGCACCUCGCUACGUCCCGUACAGAUUGCACUAAAGAACUCAAGCUGUUCACCAACUGUUCUGCCUUUCAGACGAACAACAGAGGAUGCGAGGAUUGCGACCAUGUAAUAGGAGAAUGUUGGACAAAAAGUGAUUAAAAAGCAAGAUCUCAAGUUACUCCUGCCACUGAGGCAUUUAGUACUGUUGCACAGGAAAUGCCAGAGCGUUGUGCAAAUGGAGGAGCCAUUUUCAGUUCUCACCUCAAGCUGGAAGGGACUUCUCUGGCCAGAGGGCCUUUAAAACCCCUUUUUGUCACCGCAGUCUGUAAUGAAUACAGCCACUAGAAGAGAAGCCACUAGAACCACAGAGCCCAUCUCUAACCUCGGGUUAGAGAUUCGGAGUGCCAGCCCCCUCAGCUGUUCCCAGACUCAGCAUGCAAACACUGUCCCUUCAGCGUGUGCGGAAAACGACGUUUAGUAAUCAGAUCCUGUAGAAAGAGGCAGACCUCCCAGUGCAGGGCACACUGUGAGAUGGGGAGUCGUGCGCUGCCUACAGAGAAUUAGACCCAACCUGCCCCUCUGCUUUAGGGCCAUCACCAGAAUCAUCUGAAGCGGAGCGGGAGCUGGGGAUCAGAACCCACCAUGGGUUGCUACGCAGUGUGUGCUAUUGCCUCCCCUUCAGU